rnacentral:rRNA from 1 species
UACAGAGGGGGCGAGCGUUAUUCGGAAUUAUUGGGCGUAAAGGGCGCGUAGGCGGCAAGGCAAGUGGAAGGUGAAAUCUCCAAGCUUAACUUGGAAACUGCCGUUGAUACUAUCAUUCUUGAAUAUCGUGGAGGUAAGCGGAAUAUGUCAUGUAGCGGUGAAAUGCUUAGAUAUGACAUAGAACACCAAUUGCGAAGGCAGCUUACUACACAGUAAUUGACACUGAGGCACGAAAGCGUGGGGAGCAAACAGG